UCCUAGCCCUGAUGGGAGCGGCAUCCUUUUAUGGUGGGGUUCACCAUAAAAGAUAUAGCAGACAGCAGGAAACAGC
rnacentral:sRNA from 2 species